GCCAUCACCCCCUACCCAGCUCACCUGAAGGUCUAGGAGCGCGAAAAUUGACUGUUAUUGUCUACGGUGUGGAUCGUGUUCAGUUGCGAACGGUUAUCGUGGAUAGAAACUUCAGUCUCGCGUGAUGAGUUAGUUGUUGUUAAGCGAUUGAUUGAAUGAAGAAGAUUUUUACUCAGAUUCCAGUGAUGAUGAUUACAUUCCUACAAGUGACUGAGAGUGAUGUUGAAGAAUUAUCCAAUGAAGCUGAACAAAUUUCAAACAAUGAAAGUGAUGACUGUAGAACAAAGCUCUUCCAAAAAGAGAAAACGUCCCUUAAAAAAGAAUAAAUCAAAUAAAACAACAGUUUCUGAAGAACCAGACAAAGGAGAUAAAUUUAAAAAUACCAAUAAUGAUGAAGAUAAAAAACAAAGGAUUGAUCGUAUGUGGGCUAGUUUCAAGGAGGGAACUGACACAAACUGACAAAAGAAGCAAAAAGAGACUGUUGCACCUAUUGUAACCAAACCUACAAAAUCUACAGCCUGUAAAAAUUUGCUGGAGAAGAAAUUGAAAUCCCAGAAGAAGUUAAGAAAACUGGACCUUUAAAUUCCCAAGAAAUGAAAGGAAAAAACCUUCCUACUUAAAAA
rnacentral:lncRNA from 1 species